rnacentral:rRNA from 1 species
UACGGAGGGUGCAAGCGUUAUCCGGAUUCACUGGGUUUAAAGGGUGCGUAGGAGGGCAGGUAAGUCAGUGGUGAAAUCCCCGAGCUUAACUUGGGAACUGCCGUUGAUACUAUCUGUCUUGAAUAUUGUGGAGGUAAGCGGAAUAUGUCAUGUAGCGGUGAAAUGCUUAGAUAUGACUUAGAACACCAAUUGCGAAGGCAGCUUGCUAAACAAAUAUUGACGCUGAGGCACGAAAGCGUGGGGAUCAAACAGG